rnacentral:rRNA from 1 species
CCCGGUCGUGGGGGAUAACGUGGGGAAACCCACGCUAAUACCGCAUACGUCCUACGGGAGAAAGCGGAGGAUCUUCGGACUUCGCGCUAUCGGAUGAGCCUAUGUCGGAUUAGCUAGUUGGUAAGGUAACGGCUUACCAAGGCGACGAUCCGUAGCUGGUCUGAGAGGAUGAUCAGCCACACUGGGACUGAGACACGGCCCAGACUCCUACGGGAGGCAGCAGUGGGGAAUAUUGGACAAUGGGCGAAAGCCUGAUCCAGCCAUGCCGCGUGUGUGAAGAAGGCUUUCGGGUUGUAAAGCACUUUCAGCGAGGAAGAAAGCCUGGUGGUUAAUACCCAUCAGGAAGGACAUCACUCGCAGAAGAAGCACCGGCUAACUCCGUGCCAGCAGCCGCGGUAAUACGGAGGGUGCGAGCGUUAAUCGGAAUUACUGGGCGUAAAGCGCGCGUAGGUGGCUUGGCACGCCGGUUGUGAAAGCCCCGGGCUCAACCUGGGAACGGCAUCCGGAACGGCCAGGCUAGAGUGCAGGAGAGGAAGGUAGAAUUCCCGGUGUAGCGGUGAAAUGCGUAGAGAUCGGGAGGAAUACCAGUGGCGAAGGCGGCCUUCUGGCCUGACACUGACACUGAGGUGCGAAAGCGUGGGUAGCAAACAGGAUUAG